AUGAUCCGGUUUUUAAAACUAUUAGAAAUGCCUCUGCCCAAAUAAAGGUGCAAAUGAGACCAGAUGCCAAAGUCAAUAGUAUGGGUUUUAUUUAACAUGAAAUGCAA